AGUCUGGUAGUUAAACGGAUAUAACAGAAGUUUCCUAAACUUUAGUUCCGGGUUCGAUUCCCGGCUGGACUA
rnacentral:tRNA from 1 species